rnacentral:lncRNA from 1 species
ACUGUCUUAAGACAGGCAAGAUGAUUAUUUUUAAAAGUCUCUUCCUAAAUAGGAAGAGAGAAUGAAAAUAUACUUUUUACUUACUGUCUUGGAAAUGCACUUACUUAUUGUUUUGGAAAGUUGAUUGGACAAUAUGUAAAAUUCCUGAAAUAAAAGUGGGAAUCAGUAACUUAAAAGUUGUUUUUUUGUGUUUGGUAACCAUAUUUUUAAAAACCACUUUUCACAAAGUUACACAUAUUUAUAGACAAGUGAUGCUGAAGUAUGAAACUUCAGUGAGUACAGAGUAGUUGACUUAAGGUGGCUUUAGAAAAAUCUUUGUGUACUUUGUUUCGUCAGCUUAGUGUCUUUCAAGAAAUGCUAUUAUAAGAGAAAAUGUUAAACCUUUAGUUUUGUAUCAACCAUGGCUAGCCACGGAAUUUGAGCAUAAAACAGUUUCUGUUACAAUGACUGAAAUAAACAAAACAUGGUCUUUAAAAUACACUUAUCCUAGACAAAUGUACACAUGAUAA